rnacentral:rRNA from 1 species
UCCUACGGCCAUGACACCCUGAACAAGUCAGAUCCAAUCUGAUCUCAGAAGCCAAUCAGGUUUGGGCCUGAUUAGUAUUUAGAUGGGAGACCACCUAAAAAAAGACCAGAUGCAGGAGGCG